CCUGACAAGCAAGGGAAAGGGACUUAGGGAUCCUCAGCCUGGCUGUGUCCCUGAUGGCAUGGUUACCUCUUCCUUCCUGGCCUUUGCCCUGCCUCCUUCUGUUGAAACGAGCAAGGGAGGAGAGAGUGGAAAUAGUCUACAAAGUGCCUUUGCACCACUUUGCACAAGCUGAAGCCCUUGGGGGAUUCUGGGUAUAGACUGGUGCCAGGGCCAGAAGUAAAGGAGUUAAGGAAACUCCUUGGCUGGGGACUGGGCAAGGGAGAAGAAGGGAGAUCAGUAGGAUCAAGAAGGCCGCUGGUCUCUCUGAUACAAUGCCGGGCAGCUAGUGCAUCCCUCAAAAGGAGACGGUCACCCUACAAAGGGCUUCUGUGCCUCACAGACAGCUGUCCAGGAAGGGAUCAAAGAGCUGCUGGGGUAGACCAAGGCUGGAUGUGCCCUGCAGCAUGGUUAAUAGGGAGCAGGAGGCAUGUCCCCACACAGCCCUGCUAAGUCUGUCUUCGUGAAGCUGCAGAUGAGCCCAGAGUGGGGAUGCCAAGAAGGAAAUGGAGUGUUUGCCACUGUGCUGAGUACUCCCUGAGACACAGGUGAGAAACAGGCAUCUCAGGAUCAAGCGACUUGCCCAAGACCACACUUCAUUUCCUGCCAGACUUUGCCUGAUCUUCAGACCAGCCUUCUGGCCACCAAACCAGUCACCUCUUAUGUCAGCUCACUGAACAGCGAGGCUCCACUCCCUUAGCAAGCUCCUGGAGAAGACGCUCUGAAAAGCAUCCUAUGAGGAGUUGAAGAAUGAACACCACGGCCCUAAGCAAGGCUCGUGUUGGGAAUUGAACAUGCUGGACCCAGCAACCCCACCCGCCUGCUCAGAAGCAGCGGCUCAUUUCCAAGAGCUUCCCUCCCUUGAUUUGGCCUGUUUUCCAAACACGGGUCAAACGGUCCCUCUCCAGAGUGGCAGGAGCAGGAAAACGUUAUUAAAAGUGAGCCGUUAGUGGGCAUCGGGUGUG